rfam:Myotis lucifugus cont2.34333, whole genome shotgun sequence.
GGCUGUUCUCAGAUGACACCCCCCGGAAUCAGGCUCCCUCCUCUCUGGUUCCCGGUGUGUCACCCGAGAACCGCA